UCUACGCGAGGCUCUGCAUGGCACCGUGGGAGCCCACGUGUCCAGAACUAGACCCACGCAGGAGGACAAACACACGGUCCUCCGACGCUUUGCUAGCAUUUGCUUUUCCUCCAGGUUGUCAGCCUGGUCCGGCCUCCGCUCGGCACGUGUUGCCGAGCGGAGUCCCCGGCGGAGCAGCUAGCCGCGGAGCUAGGUUCCUUUGGCACAGCAGCAGAACAUGGGGGUUCUGAGGAAGCUUCCUACAGUCGGCCUUACCUGCAUUUCCUCCGCCUGGCUGAAUGAAACCUCCGCUCGACCAGUUCUCUUCUCCUCCUGGACCUCCCUUUGACUUUCUGUGCAGCUGUUCAGCCCUGCUUCAAAACAGCAGAUGCUCAGAUGUGUCUGCUGCUUUAACCUUGUAGAGCAUCGGAUGGAGACUUUAAUCUGACGUGGCGUUCGCUUGUCCUUUCUGAGAGACUACCUGUUAAGAAAAUGACUGUGAGGAAGUGGUCACAGGAAGCCGAAGAAGCCCUUGGAGCUGCGUCUCGAAGGCGGCGCGAGGCCCACCCAGGCGUUUGGCACAGCUGAAUGUUUGCCUCAGGAGAAUAAAGCGUUUCUCAAACAUGCGUGAAAGAAUCAAAGCAACACUCAGGUUAAUUUCUUGAUGAAGGAAUGACAUUAUAGCAUGAUUUUACAUAACACUGUCCCUUCAGAAGCUCCAUUUUGUGUUUACUUGUGUUGUCUGUGAUUAAUCUUUAAAUUGGUUUGAUGUUCUGAAACAAUGAAGCGUGUAAAAAAACCAUGCAAAACAAAAUGGAAGUCAGCGCAUUCAUGUCCCAAUACAAACAUUAUAAACCUCCAUUUGGACGUCCCUCUCUGUCCAAAGAUUGUUUUUCUCACGCGUUUGCACCAAACGUUUCUCUUAAGUUGACAACUUUGAGAUGGCCUCGUUUACUAGCAGUUUGCCUGUGUGAGGAAAACGCUGGAAUUUUACCAGGAAAAGUCGGAUCGGUACCUCCGAUCUGACCUGGAGUGAUACUUGUGUGUUGUGCAGAUGGUCUUAUACAAAACAAACAUCCAGGACGGCAGCGGUGAGUGUCACUGGCCCUCAAAUAUGCCCCCUGCCAUCGACAAACAUCCUCUUCUGAAGAGUGCAGUCGCUGAUCUGAGGGGCCCCGCUUAGCUCCUCUCCUCUCUGACCUCAGUGGAGGCAGGCAGCUGGUUACACAACAGGACUGUUUGAGCAUGGAACCAAGAUAAAAUCAUUAAAAAUGAGUUAAUGCAUCACUAUGGAGGAUUGACUAAUGCAGAAUAUAACGUGAAAUUCUCAAAGUCAUAAUUUUGUCAUUAAAUCGGUUAGGGCUGUUCUAAAUGAAUAUUUUAUCUAUCGAUUAUUCUCACGAUUAAUAGAGUAAUCGGCUAAAAGAAAGAUAAAAUAAAACAUUGGUAAAUCUAACAUAACAGCAGUAUUACGGUACUAUCGCAUAUCAA